GGGGAAUCUAGGGAGGAAAGUCCGGGCAACAUAGAGCACCCUACUUCCUAACAGGAAGGCACCUGGUCUGAAAACCAAGUGACAGCAAGUGCCACAGAAAAUAGACCGCUCUUUUAAGCAGAGUAAGGGUGAAAAGGUGGAGUAAGUGCCCACCGUUUGGUUGGUGACAGCCAAGGCAAGGUAAACCUUAGGGGUUGAAAGGCUAAAUAAAUACUGCAUCCUCAUGAUGGGAUCACAAGUGGCUCGCUUGUGUUUCAAGUGUUGAAAAGCAGUGUGGGUAGGCUGAUAGAGGCUGUGAGCGAUCAUAGUCCCAGAUAAAUGGUAAGCAUGCUGGCCAUUGCGUUGGCAUACAGAACCCGGCUUAUAGGCUUGCUUGU
rnacentral:RNase_P_RNA from 1 species